AUUGAACGCUGGCGGCAGGCCUAACACAUGCAAGUCGAACGAGUGGCGGACGGGUUAGUAAUGUCUGGGACACUGCCUGCUGGAGGGGGAUCACUACUGGAAACGGUAGCUAAUACCGCAUACCAUCAGAUGUGCCCGGGUGGGAUUAGCUAGUUGGUGGGGUAACGGCUCACCAAGGCGACGCGCCCUACCUGGUCUGAGAGGAUGACCAGCCACACUGGAACUGAGACACGGUCCAGACUCCUACGGGAGGCAGCAGUGGGGAAUAUUGGACAAUGGGCGAAAGCCUGAUGCAGCCAUGCCGCGUGUAUGAAGAAGGCCUUCGGAUUGUAAAGUACUUUCAGCGGGGAGGCGUUACCCGCAGAAGAAGCACCGGCUAACUCCGUGCCAGCCGCCGCGGUAAUAC
rnacentral:rRNA from 1 species